rnacentral:rRNA from 1 species
UACGAAGGUCCCGAGCGUUGUUCGGAAUCACUGGGCGUAAAGGGAGCGUAGGCGGCGCGGUAAGUCAGAUGUGAAAUCCCGGGGCUCAACCCCGGAACUGCAUCCGAUACUGCCGUGCUAGAGGAUUGGAGAGGUAGCUGGAAUUCUUGGUGUAGCAGUGAAAUGCGUGGAGAUCCGGAGGAACACCGACGGCGUAGGCAGCGCCCUAGACGAGACCUGACGCUCAGGCACGAAAGCGCGGGGAGCGAACAGG